ACGAUGCACAGUAUAAGAGUGUGCCACGUACGACGAGACUUUAUCGGUGUGAAAAUGAUUCAGUAUUCCGAUCGUAUCCCCCAAUAGAUCUCGACGUUGUAUAUGAUAAUGGCUCGGCGCGGUGCUCCCGGUUUCCAAAGGAAUACAUAUCGCGGGCCACAUCCAAUUCCGCAGCUGUUGGAAUAACGUAUUGUCUCGUUACCCGUACGUAUCGCGUAUAUUGCGAUGAUGCGGUGCGAUUAAAAUCAUGGUAUUAUUACACGUGAGGUAUAACAAUUCUCUCACGUGGGGUCGGUCGUCAUCGUCCGUACCUAUUCCUCGGGUAGAGGUACACGUCUCCACGCGUUUAUCCGUUUGUACGUAUCACCUCAUCAAGAUGAUCGCGAUCCACGAUUAUAACAUAAGAACUAACCGCAGCAGCGGCGAGGCGAGUCAACAAUAAGAACGAGAAGAAGAGGAGGAUAAAGAAGGAGACGAAGACGAGGGGGUAAAAAGAGGAGCGGUAAACAUGGCGAGCAUAGGUGUGAUACGGUUGCAUACAACGGAGGUAUACGCGAGAGCAAAUGUGCAGCAGCGUCGGCCGCAAAUGCUGCAUCGCGUCGCGUCGCGUCCUGCCGCAUGCGGCGUUAUACGUCGUCGAGAGCAACGCCGUUAAAAUUUAUUCCUUUUCCUUAAGCCGUAUGCAAUUACCGGAGUAAUUAAUUGCGCAAACUGUCAAUUAUAAUCAUACGUAUACCUA